GAUGAACGCUAGCGGGAGGCUUAACACAUGCAAGUCGAGCGGUAGGGCAGCAAUGCCUGAGAGCGGCGCACGGGUGCGUAACGCGUAUGCAACCUGCCUUAUACAGGGGAAUAGCCCAUGGAAACGUGGAUUAAUGUCCCAUAGGAUUACGGAUUCGCAUGGAUUUGUGAUUAAAACUGAGGUGGUAUAAGAUGGGCAUGCGUCUGAUUAGGUAGUUGGUAGGGUAAUGGCCUACCAAGCCGACGAUCAGUAGGGGUUCUGAGAGGAUUACCCCCCACACGGGUACUGAGACACGGACCAGACUCCUACGGGAGGCAGCAGUGAGGAAUAUUGGUCAAUGGCCGGAAGGCUGAACCAGCCAUCCCGCGUGAAGGAUGAAGGUCCUCUGGAUUGUAAACUUCUUUUAUCUGGGGCGAAAACCGGUUAUUCUUAGCCGUUUGACAGUACCAGAGGAAUAAGCACCGGCUAACUCCGUGCCAGCAGCCGCAGUAAAAC
rnacentral:rRNA from 1 species